UCCGGAGGGGGCUAGCGUUGUUCGGAAUUACUGGGCGUAAAGCGCACGUAGGCGGCUUUGUAAGUUAGAGGUGAAAGCCCAGGGCUCAACCCUGGAAUUGCCUUUAAGACUGCAUCGCUAGAAUUGUGGAGAGGUAAGUGGAAUUCCGAGUGUAGAGGUGAAAUUCGUAGAUAUUCGGAAGAACACCAGUGGCGAAGGCGACUUACUGGACACAUAUUGACGCUGAGGUGCGAAAGCGUGGGGAGCAAACAGG
rnacentral:rRNA from 1 species